UUAUAUUUUUAUUGUGACAGGAUGCCAUGAGACAAGAAAAGCAAAAACAAACAAAAAAACACCCAAUCUGCCUUCUCUAGAAGCAACAAAUCAGAGCCAGGAGGCGGUUCUUUCAGCUGCCAAUCACAGUCUUGUGUGCCACUCCUCAUCUUCCCUCUAUGCACCCCCCUCUGCUAUAUAAGUGCUGCAAUAAUAGAAUCACCCAUAUAUAUGGGGGCGGGCGGGCAUGUAUGUAUCCAUGUAUACAUAGCCUUUCUGAAACUCCGUCUUCAGGAAAUCAUAACAUCGCUCCUCUAUUAACCCUUCAGCAACAGUUUUAGCGUUGCUCUGAGAAGCAACUCUUAUGAGUUCCGUCAGGUGUUUGUUCAUUUCCACUAGCUAGUCUGAAAUAGGUGAGUGUGGGAGUCAUGUAGGAGGGAUGCUCAGGGAGGGAGAGGCUCUGCUUGGAGACUGCAGCUCUGAGCAGGAGCUUCAUCCUCAAAGGCGGUGUUAGAUCCAAGCAGGUAUUUUGCACAGCUGAAUGGUUACCAUGGAGAUUAAAAUAUUUCUCAAAAAUGCAUGAAACAAUCAAAGCAACUCUUCAGGUAUGUUUUUGAUGAGGGAAUAGCACUAACAUGGUGAAAUGCUCAAAAGUUUAUUUUAUAUAAUACUGCCACUAAGCAAAGUAUACAGAGAACUUGUGUAACCCACAUAAAAUGGGGAUGCCUCAUUAAGAAACGGAGGUUAGGGAAGCUAGGUGGUCUACCUAGCCAAUAGGAAGUUUAGUUUCCGAUGAGUUUAAACCAAUCAGAAUUCGGACUGCCGCUGCAGGACCCGCCCUUCCGCAGCAUUGAGUGUGUAAGCGAGAGAGAUCCGGAAACGAUUAAGCUGGGCAGCGUGAGAGUCUCUGUUUUAAAACAGUUAUACAACUCUAAACAAACGCUUUCCCAGAUCAUCCGACUUCUAAGCUGGACGCGUGAAGUGAAAAAAAAGAAAAGGAAAGACAAGUUCACUUUUUCUGCUGAACACCGUUAGAGCUGACUCGUUAGCUCUAACGGCCAACGGCUACUGGUUUAGCUCUAACGGCUACUAGGCUAACGUUUUAAGUUCAUCUUGUUCUCCGUUCAGUUGAAGUGCCUCACGGGUCCGGACUGAGAGCCACCGUAUUGUUGUCCCUAACGUGUCGCAUUGAGAUCGGUGAGCAUAUUCUGUGCCUUUCAUUUGGGUUUUUGUUCUGUUUAUCACAUUUUUGUUGAAUAAUAUUGUUUAUCUGAACUAUUUGAUUAUUAAAAUGUAAACUUUUACUGAUUUUGGAUAAAAUGUAAUGUUUAAUAUCGUUUGAAGAAAUGCUUUUGUAAUUUACAGUAAUUGAUGUCAAAUAUACAGAAACAUGAUUUAAGGAUUAAAGCUAGAACAGCUUAAUAAAAUCCUAUGAUUCUGCUGGUCCUGUCUGUUGACAGGUCAGGUUUUUUUGUUUAUGCUGGAUUGUUCCUGAGGUUGGAUUCCUCCUGUGACUUUGAUGGCGAGCCUUCCCACCUGGACUUAGAAAGAACUGGAUUCCUGGAUUCCUUCUUUCCCAUUUGGAGUCCUGCUGCACCCCACGGUGUGGUAGGCCGGUACCACUCACAUCUUCACACACAGUUGGUUAUGAGUGAGACCACUGACUGACAUUUUUCUUUUUAUUGUUUAAUCCUGGAAUUUCUGAUCUCACCUUUUGGACUGGUUUUUAUUUGGUACUUUGUAACAAACUGCUGUGUAGGAAAUUCUCCUCAUGUGAAUGGUGUUGAGUUGAACCUAAUUGGAACUGGAAUUGAUUGAUCUGUUGCCUAUUAUGAUUUAGAAUUCAGAUUACCAGGGUGCACCCAAAAGA